rnacentral:rRNA from 1 species
CGGCGUUUCGGCGUCGUUCGUUCAACGCGAUCGGRGCGGNCCGUUCGUGUAUCCGGCCUCCGGAGCGCGUGCACUUCUCCCCUAGUACAACACCGCGACCCGUCGGGUCAACACAAGGCGGUCUCACCGCGUCCGGGAGAAGGUCCCGAAGUCCGGCUUUCACGGUCGGGCAUCGGAGUCUCCUCMGGCGUCGUGGCCGCCGCUCGACGGUAGAAGACGAGGAUCGGAUUCGGCGUAUAACGCGUCCCGAUCGCGACGCGAUACUUCGCGCGAGGUGGGCUUCCGGUUAGUCCGUUCCCGCUUCGCGUAGUGGUGUCG